rnacentral:rRNA from 1 species
ACGAACGCUGGCGGCGUGCUUAAAACAUGCAAGUCGAACGAACUAGUUGGCGUAGUAAUACAAAGAUUAGUUAGUGGCAAACGGGUGAGUAACGCGUGGGUAAUCUGCCUUAUACAGGGGGAUAACAGUUGGAAACGACUGCUAAUACCGCAUAAGACCACAGAUGCUUGAGGCAUCAGGGGUAAAAGGGAUAACUGGUAUAAGAUGAGCCUGCGUUUCAUUAGCUAGUUGGUGAGGUAACGGCCCACCAAGGCGACGAUGGAUAGCCGGUCUGAGAGGACGAACGGCCACAAUGGAACUGAGACACGGUCCAUACUCCUACGGGAGGCAGCAGUUAGGAAUAUUGGGCAAUGGAGGAAACUCUGACCCAGCAACGCCGCGUGAAGGAAGAAGGUUUUCGGAUUGUAAACUUCUGUAUUAUGUGACAAAGAAAGUGAUGGUAGCAUAAUAGAAAGCUACGGCAAACUACGUGCCAGCAGCCGCGGUAAUACGUAGGUAGCGAGCGUUGUCCGGAAUAACUGGGCGUAAAGGGAGCGUAGGCGGUUAAUUAAGUCUAAUGUGGAAGUCUGUGGCUUAACCAUAGGAGUGCAUUGGAUACUGGUUGACUAGAGUAUGGAAGAGGUAAACGGAACUACUAGUGUAGCGGUGGAAUGCGUAGAUAUUAGUAAGAACACCAGAGGCGAAGGCGGUUUACUGGGACAAAACUGACGCUGAGGCUCGAAAGCGUGGGGAGCAAACAGGAUUAGAUACCCUGGUAGUCCACGCCCUAAACGAUGGAUACUAAAGGAAGGCAGUUUCGACGCUGUCUGUCUUGAAGCAAACGCGAUAAGUAUCCCGCCUGGGGAGUACGAACGCAAGUUUAAAACUCAAAGGAAUUGACGGGGACCCGCACAAGCAGCGGAGCAUGUUGUUUAAUUCGACGCAACGCGAAAAACCUUACCAAGGCUUGACAUAGGAUGAAUACCUAGGAAACUAGGGAAGUGAAAGCAAUUUUACAUCCAUACAGAUGGUGCAUGGUUGUCGUCAGCUCGUGUCGUGAGAUGUUAGGUUAAGUCCUAAAACGAGCGCAACCCUUGUCAAUAGUUGCCAGCAUUAAGUUGGGCACUCUAUUGAGACAGCCGUAGGUAAUACGGAGGAAGGUGGGGAUGACGUCAAAUCAUCAUGCCUCUUACGCCUUGGGCUACAAACGUGCUACAAUGGUCGUUACAAAGAGACGCGAUAUAGUAAUAUGGAGCAAAUCUCAAAAAGACGGCCUCAGUUCAGACUGUGGGCUGCAACCCGCCCACACGAAGUCGGAGUUGCUAGUAAUCCCGAAUCAGCAUGUCGGGGUGAAUGCGUUCCCGGGUCUUGUACACACUGCCCGUCACGCCAUGGGAGUCGGGGGUACCCGAAGUCGGUGAGUCAACCUGUAAAGGAGACAGCCGCCGAAGGUAAAACUGAUGACUGGGGUG